rnacentral:tRNA from 1 species
UGGGGAGUCGCCAAGUGGUAAGGCAACGGACUUUGACUCCGUCACUCGUAGGUUCGAUCCCUACCUCCCCAGCCA